rnacentral:rRNA from 1 species
GAUGAACGCUGGCGGCGUGCCUAAUACAUGCCAGUCGAGCGAACGGACGAGAAGCUUGCUUCUCUGAUGUUAGCGGCGGACGGGUGAGUAACACGUGGAUAACCUACCUAUAAGACUGGGAUAAUUUCGGGAAACCGGAGCUAAUACCGGAUAAUAUUUUGAACCGCAUGGUUCAAAAGUGAAAGACGGUCUUGCUGUCACUUAUAGAUGGAUCCGCGCUGCAUUAGCUAGUUGGUAAGGUAACGGCUUACCAAGGCAACGAUGCAUAGCCGACCUGAGAGGGUGAUCGGCCACACUGGAACUGAGACACGGUCCAGACUCCUACGGGAGGCAGCAGUAGGGAAUCUUCCGCAAUGGGCGAAAGCCUGACGGAGCAACGCCGCGUGAGUGAUGAAGGUCUUCGGAUCGUAAAACUCUGUUAUUAGGGAAGAACAUAUGUGUAAGUAACUGUGCACAUCUUGACGGUACCUAAUCAGAAAGCCACGGCUAACUACGUG